AGCUCUAGAAUAUGCACUCAUCGCCCGUCGCUCUUAUUAUAAAAUAAGAUAAGUCGUAACAUAGUA
rnacentral:tRNA from 1 species